CAGUCGCCGCGGUAAAACGAAGGGUGCAAGCGUUACUCGGAAUUACUGGGCGUAAAGCGUGCGUAGGUGGUUGUUUAAGUCUGCUGUGAAAGCCCUGGGCUCAACCUGGAAAUUGCAGUGGAUACUGGGCAACUAGAGUAAGGUAGAGGAUAGUGGAAUUUCCGGUGUAGCAGUGAAAUGCGUAGAGAUCGGAAGGAACAUCUGUGGCGAAGGCGACUAUCUGGGCCAUUACUGACACUGAGGCACGAAAGCGUGGGGAGCAAACAGGAUUAGAUACCCCAGUAGUCCCUGUCUCUUAUAC
rnacentral:rRNA from 1 species